rnacentral:rRNA from 1 species
AUUGAACGCUGGCGGCAGGCCUAACACAUGCAAGUCGAGCGGAGGAAGGGAGCUUGCUCCUGGAUUCAGCGGCGGACGGGUGAGUAAUGCCUAGGAAUCUGCCUGGUAGUGGGGGAUAACGUCCGGAAACGGGCGCUAAUACCGCAUACGUCCUGAGGGAGAAAGUGGGGGAUCUUCGGACCUCACGCUAUCAGAUGAACCUAGGUCGGAUUAGCUAGUUGGUGGGGUAAAGGCCUACCAAGGCGACGAUCCGUAACUGGUCUGAGAGGAUGAUCAGUCACACUGGAACUGAGACACGGUCCAGACUCCUACGGGAGGCAGCAGUGGGGAAUAUUGGACAAUGGGCGAAAGCCUGAUCCAGCCAUGCCGCGUGUGUGAAGAAGGUCUUCGGAUUGUAAAGCACUUUAAGUUGGGAGGAAGGGCAGUAAGUUAAUACCUUGCUGUUUUGACGUUACCAACAGAAUAAGCACCGGCUAACUUCGUG